GUGGGGAAUAUUGGACAAUGGGGGGAACCCUGAUCCAGCCAUGCCGCGUGUGUGAAGAAGGCCUUUUGGUUGUAAAGCACUUUAAGCGAGGAGGAGGCUACCGAGAUUAAUACUCUUGGAUAGUGGACGUUACUCGCAGAAUAAGCACCGGCUAACUCUGUGCCAGCAGCCGCGGUAAUACAGAGGGUGCAAGCGUUAAUCGGAUUUACUGGGCGUACAGCGCGCGUAGGUGGCCAAUUACGUCAACUGUGAAAUCCCCGAGCUUAACUUGGGAAUUGCAUUCGAUACUGGUUGGCUAGAGUAUGGGGGAGGAUGGUAGAAUUCCAGGUGUAGCGGUGAAAUGCGUAGAGAUCUGGAGGAAUACCGAUGGCGAAGGCAGCCAUCUGGCCUAAUACUGACACUGAGGUGCGAAAGCAUGGGGAGCAAACAGGAUUAGAAACCCGGGUAGUCC
rnacentral:rRNA from 1 species